CCCUCCCAGGUGUCAACCAUUCAUUGGCUCCUUCAACUCCACUACCUGAUUCACUGAAAGCCAAUUACGAGGUGACUCGUGGUUCCUUGAGAUUGUGACACCUGUCCAAAGUUAGCUGCAGAAAAUGAACCCCAAAUGGGGGUCUACACUUAUAUAUAUAGCUAGAUAUCAAAACUCACAAUCUCACUUUUAAACAUUCCCUUUGUUACACAAGUGGUGUGUAGUCAUUAACAAAAUUGCAUGAAAUAUCUUGUGUGUAUUAUCAUGCACAUCAGAGAUUAAUAUCUAAAAAGUUCAACAAUUUAUUAUAUCAUAACAAUGUAUGUAAUGUGAUUGGUUAUAACAUAUGCAUAGUGAUAAUUAAUUUCUUGAAUGUAAAGUAUAAUUUAUUUUUGCAACUUAAUAUAAGUUAUGUACAUUUUGACCAAAUAAGAAUUUAGCAUAUAUCUCAUACUUUUAGAACUUUAGAAAAAUUAAACAAGUUAUAUAUAUAACAUAUGCAAGAGAUAUUUAUUUUAUGAAAAAAUUAGUAAAAUCAUACAUAUCAUAACUACUCACAAAAAUUAUUGCAAUCAAAACUAUAAUAGAACUUAUAAUCUUAUGACUCCACAAAUUCUAGGAGUUUUGCAAGAAUGAAGGUAUUGUGAGACACAACAUAAUUAGACAUACUUCAUAGAAAAAUGGAUGAAUAAAACCCUUUUAGAGAGAGCACGAUGCAUGCUUUUGAAUGGAGGGUUGUUAAAGGAAUUUUGGGUUGAAGUAGUAAAUUUAGCUUGUUAUCUUAUGAAUAGAUCUCUUUUUGUAGGACUCCUAAAAAGGUAUGGUUUGGUCCUCCUUCUAAGUAUGCAAAUUUAAGAAUUUUUUGUUGUUUUGCUUAUGCUCAUGUGAAUGAAGGUAAUUGGAACCAAGGGUGAGGAAAUGCAUAUUCUUAAGAUAUACAGAUGGAGUGAAAGUGUACAAGUUAUGGUACCCAUAUUUAAAAUUCUCCACAUUUCUUAUUAGUAGGGAUAUGACUUUUAAUGAGUCUAUAAGUUUGAGUCCUAGAAAGGAGCAACUUUAUGUAGGAAAUAACCCCAAUGUGAGGGAGAAGAUGGAGUUUGUGCCUAAAGCUUCAAAAACCAUAUCAAAAACAAUUUCAAUAAAGCCAAAGAAGAAAUAAAUGCAAUAUCUUGAUGAUAAAGAAAAUGCACCAUAAGAGCAACAAUAUUGUUUAGUAAGAGAAAGAAUGAGGAAGUCUAUUAAACCACCACAAAAGUAUGUUUAUGUAGAUUUGGUUGUUUGUGCACUUAGUGUGGCGGAAAACAUUGAAAAUGAGGAACCUCACACUUAUCAUGAAGUCAUCACUAGUAGAGAGUCUACAUAGUGGAUUGUUGCUAUGAUUGAGGAGAUUGAAUCUCUUCAAAAUAACCAUACUUGGCAACUAGUCGAGAAACCUAAAAAUCAAAAGAUUGUUGAUUGCAAAUGAGUCUUCAAAAGAAAGGAAGGAAUUCUAGGAUUGGAGGAUGUUAAGUUUAAAGCACACUUGGUUGCAAAGGGAUAUACUCAAAAGGAGGGUAUGAACUUCAAUGAAAUGUUUUCUCUAGUUGUGAAGCAUAGCUCAAUCAGGGUAUUGUUUAUUAUGGUUGCUUUAUUUGAUUUAAAGUUAGAGCAACUUGAUAUCAAAAUUGUUUUUCUACAUGGUGAGUUGGAAGAAUAAAUUUAUAUACAUCAACUUGAAGGAAUCAUUAUUUCGGUUUAGGAAAACCAUAUUUAUUUGUUAAAGAAAUCUCUUUAUAGUUUGAAGCAAUCUCCUAGGCAGUGAUAUUGUUAGAAAUAUGGAAUAAUUGUAUUCUAUUUCUUAAUUAAAGAAUAUACAUCAGUGCCUUUAUAUAGGAGGCAUAUGUGUGCGGUACAAGUAAUAUGUGUGCGGUACAAGUAAAAUGUACUAUACAAGUAACCUAACUGGGCCUAAAGCCCAUAACAUAAUAUACUUUAACAGCCCCCCUCAAAUUCAAGGUGGAUGUGAGACCAACUUGAGGUUGUCAACUAAAUCACGAGUACGUCUCUUAGGAAGUGACUUGGUGAAGAUAUCUGCAAGUUGAUCUUUGGAGGAGACGGAGAAAAGCUUAAGAGCACCAUGGACAAGAUGAUAACGGAUAAAAUGACAAUCAAUCUCGAUGUGUUUAGUCUGUUCAUGAAAGACAUCAUUGUGAGCAAUAUGAAUGGCACUCUGGUUGUCACAAUAAAGAGGAGUAGCAGAGGAGGUGGACACACCCAAAUCCUUAAGAAGCCAUCUUAGCCAAAGGAGCUCAGAUGUGGUAUCAGCAAGGGCACGAUAUUCUGCUUCAGUACUGGAACGGGCCACAAAAGUUUGUUUCUUACUUCUCUAAGAAAUCAAAGAAGAACCAAGGAGGAAUCAAUAACCUGUAAUGGACCUACGAUCAGUAGGAUCUCCUGCCCAAUCAGCAUCAGAGAAUGCAUGGAGUACAAGAGGAGACUGAGCUGAGUAGAAAAGGCCAUGAAAAGGGUACCCUUCAGGUAUCGAAGAAUGCGCAGAACAGCAGCAUAGUGAGUUGAUCGUGGAGUAGACAAAUACUGGCUCACUUGAUGAACAACAUAGGAGAAACUGUGAGAUAAACUAAGCUGCCAACCAAUCAUCUGUAAAGAGAAGUAUUAGACAAUGGUUUCCCCCCCGAGGGUGUCAGAUGCGCAUUAAGUUCAACUGGAGUGUCAACAGUCUUGCUGUCAGUGAGUCCAGCUUGAGACAAUAGGUCAGAAGCAUACUUGGCUUGAGUAAUAUAAAGACCAUCUGUGGAAUGAGUAAUUUCAAGACCCAAGAAAUAACUGAGAUGUCUAAGAUCUUUCAUCUCAAACUGCUGACUGAGAAAAUCCUUGAGUUCUUGAAUGCCACUAAGGUCAUCACCAGUUAUGAUCAUAUCAUCCACAUAUAGAAGAAGCAAAAUAGUGCCUUUAUCAGUACGACGAAGAAAUAAGGCAGAAUCAUACGGACUGGCAGUGUAACCCAAGCGAAAAAUAGUGGAGCUGAACUUGGCAAACCAAGCUCGUGGGGCUUGUUUAAGACCAUAAAGUGCACGUCGAAGAUGACAAACCUUGUUUGAUUCAACAGAGAGACCAGGAGGAGGUUGCAUAUAGACUUCUUCACUCAGAUCCCCAUUAAGGAAAACAUUUUUAACAUCCAUCUGAAAAAAAUCCCAUUUACGAGCAGCAGCAACAGCUAAGAGAGCACGAAUAGAUGAGAUACGAGCAACUGGAGCAAAAGUCUCUUCAUAAUCAAUCCCAUACUCUUGUGUAAAACCUUUGGCAACAAGACGAGCCUUGUAGCGCUCGACGGAUCCAUCAGAGCGAGUCUUGAUCUUAUAGAUCCACUUACAACCAACCACAGAUUGUCCAGGAAGGAGAGUAACCAGGUCCCAAGUAUGGUUUUUGGUUAAUGCAUCAAGUUCCUCUUUCAUUGCAAUUUACCAUAAAGAGUCAGUAGAGACCUCACGAUAGGUUUGAGGCUCGUGAAGUGUAGCAAGGGUAGUGUAACAAUGAUAGUCAAGGAGGUGUGGAGGAAUGGAUCUUACCCGGGUUGAGUGGCGAGGUGGAAUGUCUUGUGGAGGAUCUUCAGGCAGAGCAGGAGCAGGGGACCCAGGCUCAAAGUGGGGUAGCUCGUCAUCAAUCUGUUCAUCUGCAACCUGUCUAAGAGAAGCAUCAAAGAUAUCUGGAGAGAAGUCCAAAGGAGGAUCAAAAGUAUUUGUAGAAGGAACAAGAGACUCAUCUGGAAAGAUUUCUAAAACAGAGGAGUUAGUCAAGGAAGAACGAAAGUGAGAGAAUUCAACAAACAAUCGAUGUUCCCAAAAGACAACAUUAGGAGAAACACGAAGACGAUGAGAGACGGAUCAUAACACCUAUACCCCUUUUGAGUUUCGCCAUAACCAAGGAAACAACAGAGUCUAGAUCGAGACUCAAGUUUGUUGUGCUCAUGAGGCUGAAGAAGAACGAAACAAGCAGAUCCAAAUGAGCGAAGGUGAUGAUAGUCAGGGGGUGACCCAAAGAGACGCUCAUACGGAGUCUAAUUAUGGAUGACAGCACUUGGAAUGCGGUCAAUUGCAUGAACAACAUGAAGACUAGCUUCACCCCAAAAUGGGGCAGGAACUUUGGCAGAAAAAAGUAGAACACGAAUAGUGUCAAGAAUAUGACGAAGUUUUCUUUCGACUCGACCAUUUUGCUGAGAGGUACCUGGACAAGUUAGAUGAUGUAUAGUGCCAUAGGAAUGUAACAGAGCUUGAAACGCAUAUUGAGUAUAUUCAAGAGCAUUAUCAGAUCGAAAAGUUUUGAUACGUUUGGAGAAUUGAGUUUCAACCAUUUUUGCAAAAUUGCUAUAUAUUGGUAAAAUUUCGGAACGAGAUUUCAUAGGAAAAAUCCAACUAUAACGAGAAUAUUCAUCAAUAAAAACAACAAAAUAUCGAGAUCCACCAAUACUAGCAACAGGAGAAGGUCCCCAAACAUCAAAAUGAAUUAACUCAAAAAUACUAUUAGAAAUGGAUUCACUGUUAUUAAAAGGCAAAGUUGGCUGUUUUCCUAACUGACAUGAAGUGCAAUCAAAAUUGUCUUUAGACACAGAACCCAACAGACCCCUAGACACUAACUGUUGUACCCGAGAAGAUGGUGCAUGACCAAGACGAGAAUGCCAAAGUGCAAGAGAAGGUAAGGAAAAAACUACAGCCGCUGCAGCAGCAACAAAAACAGGAGCAACAGCUGGAAGAUGAAGAUUGUUCACGGGAAACAUACGCCCAACUCUAGGACCGGUCCCAAGCUCCUGCCCCGUCCUCGGAUCCUGCAUAAUACACCCAGGAUAGUAAAAAAUAAGGCGAUAACCUAGUUCAGCUAAUUGUCCCACAGAGCACGAAUUAUAGGAUAGAGCAGGUACGUGGAAGACUCUAGGAACAGAAAGAUUAGAGGUUGAAACAAAACCUAGACUAUUUCCAUGCAUGGUGAAACCAUCAGCUAUAUGAAUAUUUAGAGGAUGUGGUGUAGGGUCAAGGUUGGAGAACAGGGAUGAGUGAGGUGUCAUGUGAUUGCAGCAAACAGAAUCAAAAAGCCAAGUUUGAGACUUAUCAGGUAGAACAGAUAAGGCAGUGGAAAGAGAUGCAUUACCAGCCAUACGAACAGCUUGAGCUAUGAUCUCCUGUAGUUCAGUGGAGGAGAGGUUGAUAGUAGAUCCAGAAGACUGGGACUCAACUGAGAUGGAUGUCGUUGGCGGAGUAGGCUCAGUAUUAGCAACAGCAGCAGUAGAUUUGUUACGACGGUAACAAGUCUCAAUGGUGUGGCCAGGACGCUUGCAAUAGUUGCAGAACUUUUUGUUGGUCUGCUUGCGAUGAUUGCUAGAGCCAGAAAAAUCACCUAAUUGCUAAGGUUGCUCUAUGAGUGGAGUAGAUGGAGUAAUAGCCAAAACAUUGAGCUUAUUCUAGGCUUGAAGGGUUGCAAGACGAGCUUCUUCUCUAACUAACUCAUUCACAACAGUAUCAAGAAAGGGAGCAGGACUGCGAUUUAGCAGCUGACCACGAAUGGGCUCAAAGUCCUUGUGAAGUGACAUCAAGAAUUCAUAGAGGCGAAAUUCAUCUCUGAUGGAAGCAUAUUGCUGAGCAUCUUUUGAGCAUGCCCAAGUUGGAUCAGAAAGGUCAAUUUAGUCCCAAAUGAAGCGAAGCUGAUCAUAAUAGUCAUUGAUGGAUUGCCCCGGUUCUUGCCUGAGUUGAUGCAAUUCAACCACUAACUGAUAUUUCAUGGAUCCAUGAGUAGUGGAGUACCUUUUGGUCAACAUAUCCCAUGCAGAUUUUGCAUCGUCAAAGCUGCCCAAUAGAUUGGAAAUAGAGGGAAUGGAAGUGUUCCGGAUCCAUGUGAGGAUCAUGUGGUUAUGACUAUCCCAUUCAAUCAUGCGACUAAGAAAGACAACAUCUUCUUCACUUGCUCCCUUGACAGGAAUAGUCAUUGCACCAGUACAAUAAUGUCAGGGCAUGCGACUCUUAAGAAAACUGCGCAUAGCUUGAGACCAAGAUAAGUAAUUUUUAUUCCCCUCCAAUACAGUAUUGAUGGGGCGAGGAAGAAAAACAUCUUUUUUAUCCAUUUAGAGACACAAUAUGCAAAAACAGACUGCAAAAAUGAAAUCUACACGAAAAACUGGGUAAGGAGAACCUGGACAGAAAAUGUCAAUUGGGGAAAGUCAAUGGUCAAAGUCAACGGUCAACAGUUGGUCAACAGUCAACGGUCAACGGAUGAAGCCACAGGAUGACGUGGAGAUGACGUCAGCAGAUCAGUGGAUGCUGACGCAGCUAGGGCUAACGUGGCAGAGAUGAUGACGUCAGCAAACCAGGCCCCGACGCGUGGCAGCGCAUGGAGGCACGUGAUCAGCGUCGCAGAAUCUUUGAGCGGCGCGUGCGGUCUCCGAUGGCGGCGAGGGUUCCACGAAUGUGUAGAUCGACACUGGACGAUCUCAAUGGUACUUUCAAAAAUGAAAUCCGAGCAAUAUUCGCAGCGGUGAUGCAAAGAGCAGUGGUCUGUGCAGUGUGAAACUCCUUAACGAUGGCGGCUGCAGGUCCGGAACCCAAGGACGACGGCUGGAUGACAUCGGAGGUUCAACGGCAAGAGGCUGCGGCGACAGUUGUGAUGGCGGAAGCGUUUAGUGAAAGAAAGGAAGUCACACUAAUGAAGACAAGAUUGCCAAGAAAAGGUCAGAGCAGUGGCUCUGAUACCAUGUUAGAAAUAUGGAAUAAUUGUAUUCUAUUUCUUAAUUAAAGAAUAUACAUCAGUGCCUUUAUAUAGGAGGCAUAUGUGUGCGGUACAAGUAAUAUGUGUGCGGUACAAGUAAAGUGUACUAUACAAGUAACCUAACUGGGCCUAAAGCCCAUAACAUAAUAUACUUUAACAGAUAUAAAAUGUUUGAUAAUUUUAUGAUUAGUAAUGGUUAUCAUAGGAGUGAGUAUGACAAUUAUGUUUAUCACAAGGAGUUGUUUUAUGGUUCUUUCAUUUAUUUAUUGUUAUACAUUGAUGACAUAUUAAUUGCCUAUAAGAAUAUGUUUCAAAUCUAACAUAUUGCAAACUCAACUUCAAGGAGAGUUUGAAAUGAAAGACCUUGGAGUUGCAAAAAAUAUAUUGGGUAUGGAGAUCCAUAAAGAUUGAGAAGUAGGAAAUUUGUGCUUAUAAUAUAAAAAGUACAUUAAGAAAUGAAACGCUUUGGAAUACAAGGGUAAAAACCAGUGAGUACUCUACUAGUAGCUCACUUCAAACUUUCAAGUGCUUUAUCACCAUAGACCAAAGAAAAAAAAGAGCACAUGAGACAUGUUCCUUAUACUAAUGUAGUUAGGAGCAUUAUGUAUGUCAUAGUUUGCACUAGAUAAGAUAUUUCACAUGCAGUUAGUGUGGUAAGUAUAUGAAUUGCCCUAGAAAAAUCCAUUUGUAAGUAGUGAAAUGAAUGUUUGAGAGGAACAUUACAUGUUGGCUUAGUAUAUGAUAAAAGUAGUAACAUCUCUAGGGAAAUUGUUGGUUAUGUUGAUUAAUCUGAUUAUUCUAGAGAUUUGGACAAAAGAAAUUCUCUAACAGGAUAUGUAUUCACUUUAUAUGAUAGUAUUAUUAGUUGGAAAACAACUUUGUAAUAUAUAGUUGUUUUGUCAACCAUUGAAGCAUAAUACAUGGCGACCAUAGAAACAGUAAAAGAAACUAUUUAGUUUAAGGGUUUGGCUAUCUAGGCUUACAACAAGAGUUGAUUAUUGUGUAUUGUGAUAAUAAAAAUGUCAUAAAUUCGACUAAAAGUCAGAUAUUCCAUGAGAGGACCAAACAUAUUAAUGUCAGAAUGUAUUUUAUUAGGGAUGUGAUUGCACAAAGUGCUAUUAGCAUUAUUUCGACUUAAUUGGUGUUAAUAGUAUCUAAAAGCUCAUUCAGGAUGUGGGAACAAAUUAACAUGGAAGACUUUUGAGUUUGUUUGAAUCUUAGGAAGCAAAGGUUGAGAUUGUUGGGUUUUCUAUUAUUAUAAAGAAAAUACCCUAUUGUGAAAUCUUCUUUUAGAAAUAGACAUCUUUAACAAUUAUACUCUUACUUUGCUAUAUGAAAUCUUCUUUAGUAAAUAGAAAAAAAAUAUAUAGGAAGAGAUUUUGAUCAAAAUAGUAAUGGUUUCUUUUUAAGUCUAAUUGGGACUUUGGGAUUUGAGAGUUCAAGGAUUGUAAUCUCCUUCAACAAUAGUGAAAGCUCUUCUUUGUCUUCGCUUGUGGAUGUAGGCUUGAAGUCGAAACCAUGUAAAUUGUUAUAUGUUUUGUGUGUCUUUUUUUCGUUCUCUUAUUCUUUUUCCUCUAUUAUUAUUCUUUGUUGUGUUUUUUUACAAAAAAAAAAUGGUAUCAAAACUUUGAGUUAAAGAUCUUUGAAAGAGCCAGUAAGAAUAGAGCACAUAAGAUGAUGAUAAAAGAAAUUUUAGUUGAACGUGGAGUCGAUUGUUCUAUCAUGGGGAUAUGAUAGAAAAAGCUUGUGUUAUGGAGAAAUGGAAGGUUGACUUGAUAGAAAUUGAUCCAAGGUAGAAAUUGUUAAAAAGUAUCUCAAAUUCCUAUAGACUAAUUUUUGUAAAGAAUAUUGUAUAAAAUAUUUCUUAGUUGAUUUGUUAUUACAAUAUUAAAUUUCCUUAUUAACAUUGUUUGUAUUAAAGAUUCCAUUGACCCAACAUAUGUUGCCCGAAUGGGAAACACUAAGUUUUUUGGUACCAAAAUUGAGAAUUGUUUUCUAUAUUUUUUAUGGUUCAAAUUUAUAUCAAAAUAUUAAUUUCUUUAUUUUUCUUAAAAUAAAAAAAAAAAGUGAAAAAGCGUAAAAACAAAUAUCACAUUGUUUAUCCGUGAAAGUAAAAAAUGUUUGUGAAAAAAUCGUUUUACUUCAACAAACAAGUCCGUAUUUUAGAUAUUUAAAAAAAUGUUAGUAGUAAACAACCUUCAUUUUUAAUCAUUACAGCCUUAAGGAGAAAUGGUUUUAUUAAUUUAUAACAUGUCAUUGAUUUAUUGAAAGUUGACUCAAAUUUGGAAAUGAGAAUAAAAUAGGCCUCCCACAAAUAACAAGUUGCCACCAAUUUGAUAAUCUUGGUCAUUAAAUAAGUGUAUGGUAAAGUCUAGACAGUUGAAUUAUGAUAAUAAAUAUAUGAAAUUAAGGUGGAAUUAAAUAAGAUUAAUAUUACCAAAAAAAAAAUGAGAUCCAUGUAUAAAUUGUACAUAUAAUACGUAAUGAUUGCCCCAUUUUUUUUUUGUAGCUCUUCGAUAGGUGUUGAUCUAGCCGCAUGUAGCAGAAGCAAGUGAAAGAGGGUAUUGAAAAGUGUUGGCAUACUUGAAGGAGAUGGUAGAACCCGCGGCUAAAGGACUUCCACCAUUGACAAGGCAAUCAUCAACAACCUGGCGCUUGAAUAUUUUAGGGUUCACCAGAACUGCCGAAGCAAACAUACCGCAUUUCAAACGGAGAUUGGAGAUGGAGCAGGCUCUGGCGCAUGCAUUCGUGAUCUCCACACUGAAAGACGGUAUCCCACUUGGUAGAGUGCCGACUCUUGACUGUGCAAUCACGAUAUCGCCAUUUGAACAGUUUGUCUCUGCUGCUACCACUGGAAUUAUAUGACAUCACAAACAGAAGGCAAAACAAAAGGAGAGAUCUUCAACUUUAAAUUAUAUUUAAAAGAGAUGAUAAGUUAGAAGAUAUCAAACAAACCAGUAUAAAAUGGAAUCAUCAGAUUAGUGCUGAUGAUGAUGAUGGACAACAUAACUAUAGAGACAUGGCAAAUUGAGAAGACUUUCAUAUUGGGUGUUUGAUCUUUCUUUCUUUCUUUGCAAUUAUUUUAACAUAUACUAUCACAUAUAUAUACCUUCUUAAUAUUCAUAUCCAUAAAUAAAUCAAGCUAAUUAAUAUCCUAGAAUGGCAUUUAUGUUAAACUUUCUAUUCUCAUUUGAUGAAAUCGUUCCCUUCCUCAAUGGCUAAUAUAUUCCAUUCUAUUAAAUAUCUAAAAAUUUUAAUACACAUAUAUAAGAUAUUUUAUAUAUAUAAUAUAUGGUAUCAAAUAUCUUACAUAUAGAAGUAUGAUAGAAUAAAAUAUCUUAUAUAUGUGAUAUUUUAUUCUAUCUUUCUUCUAUAUAUAAGAUACUUGAUACCAUAUGUUAUAUAUAGAAGAAAGAUGGAAUAAAUUUAUAGUUAAUUUACAAUUUACAAUUAUAUAUAAGAUACUUAAUUUAUAGUUAAUUAAAUCAACUUACAAUUUUCUCUUCAUCUUUUAUGCAUUUUCAUAUAUAAAUUAAGCUAAUUAGUAUCAUAGGAUAGCAUUUCUAUUUAUGUUAAGAUUUCCUAUUCUUAUUUGAUCCUCUCCUACAUGCAAGGCUGCAAUUUGGGCGGGUUGGAUUAUGGUUGAUGGCCAACUUAAACCUAAUCCAACCCAAACUUUAACCUAAAUUAAUUACUCAACCCAAUCACAUUUUUUGAAGGUUGGGUUGAUUAAGUUACUCAAGUUAUAUGAUUCACAAUCCAUCUAUAAUUAUUUUAAAAAAAUUAUAUAUUUGUACCAUAAUUUAAAAAGUAAAUAGAACAAUUACAAUUUUAAGAUAAAUACAAAAGUGAAAAUAAAUUUAUAUGUCUUUCUAAAAAAAUGGAAAAGUAUAUGAUAGAAUUAUAAUUUGAUACUCUUCCUAAAAUCUAAAAAGAAAAUAAAUAGAAUAAAUGUUAUUAUAUAAAAUAAUAUAAAUUAUAAAUAUUAUAAAAAUAUUAAAUCAAAUUUAGGUUAAACUCGGAUUGUUCAAACCUUAACUUGAACUCAAUCCAAGUUGAGUUCCGAUUGAAAAAACUCAAUCUCAACCUAACUUUAGUGUUAAAAUUAUUGCCCAAGGUUGUCCAAAGGCUAAGUUGGGUUGUGUUUGACUUGGGUUCAAUCCAUUCAAGUUGGAUUUCUAUAUGCAUGGCCAAUAUAUUCCAUUCUAUUAAAUAUAUCAAAACUUAUAAUUAAGUUAAUAUCACUUUUAAAUAACAUAUAUAAGAUGUUUUAGUCAAUCUUUCUUCUAUAUAUAACAUAUUUGAUGCCAUAUAUUGUAUAGAAGACUUUACACUUUUCACCCUUUUAUGCUAUCAUUUUCUAUAUGUUCAGUUUCCAUAUAUUGAGAACCUCUUCAUUUUUUUUUUCGUAUUCUUAAGAUGAGACAUUAAUCUUUAAUUUGGGAUCUUUAUAGAGUAGUUUAAUUAGAUCUAAAAAAUUUUAGCAUGUGGUUGUGUCUGAUGUAAGGGGUCAGCUAGUGAAAUUAGGAAGUUGAAAUUGAGUCCAAAUCUUAAUUAUUAUGUAUUGAGUAGGAAAUUAGCUUAUAUAGAUCAAUAACAUGGUGUUAUUGACAUGAAUUACUAAGAGAAAAUUAGGAUUUUUUAUAUUCUUUGCUUAUUAUUAUUAUUAUUAUUAUUAUUAUUAUUAAUGAGUUAGAUUAGCUAGCUUAAGUAAGUAGUUUUGUUUUAAACAUUACUAAAUCUACUCUCCGUAUUUUUUUGGGAUUUACACUAACUUAGAAAAUUCUAGAUCAUCAUCAAUUCAUAUUAAGGGUCUUUUAAGGAAGUAUGGUACUUGAGUUUAUUUGUGUGACCAAUUUUAAUUAUGUAUUUUAGAUUCAUUAAAAUAUGAAACAACCAACAAGUUGAAAACACUAGAAAGGAGUACUCAAGUGCCGGAAAGGUGCAUUCAAGUGCUUGAGACUUUUUUCUUUUCAUAUUUUCAUUAUUUUUUAUUUGGUUCAUAUUUUAAAUUUGAUUUUUCUCGUAUCAUUGGCCCAACUUGCUAUGGUUUUAAGACUAUAAACCUACUUACAUGCCCUAGAACAAUAUUAUUAUUAUUCCUUGCAUGUUCCUAACAUUCUCAAGAACCUCAUUCUUGAUCGAGACUUGUUUAUGGAGGUUAACAACAUCCUCUUAUGGCAUUAAAAGGUUUAAUAAGGAGUAUGAGCUUGGUGCUACACACAUGAAGACCAGUGUAGAUGUUGACCAAUAUAACACUCUUGGGAGAAGGUGCUAUCUGGUUUACAUAUAUAUAUAUAUAUAUAUACUUAAAUUCAUAUUUAAUGAAUUCUCUUUGUGCAUAGUUGAUUGGACCAUGGUGUUUUUUUUUUUUUUUUUAAUUGCAAAGUUUCUCAUAGACUCUAGGUGGUUUUCCAUGUACAUCAUGUGUUUAUCAUAUGAUUGGAUUUAUUCUAAAAUCUUGAUAUGUCAUUGAAUAAAGAAAUUUUUAAUCGUAAAAUGAACUCAAAUUUUGGGUAUAAAAUCAAGACUACCUAUUCCCUUCCCCAUGUAGUUUUAGGAAUUAAGAUUUGAACUUUUAGUUAGUGUAAGAGUAAGUUAGAUUUUAAAAUUUUAAAUUUUUAUUCUUAUUUAAUCUUGAUUCAUGAAACUACAGUGAGUGGGAUCAUCCAUAUACAAUUCACCAUACUUUCAUAGAAAUAUUAUCCUAAUUAUGGAAUUAUUUUUGAAAAUAUAAGGUGAACAAAUUUAGAAUAUUAUUAAAUUUGGUUGGAGGCCUCUAAGGAAUUGAAACUCAAAUAUAAAUAAGAUAAAUUCGACAAUGAAAACAAUGAUACAAAUGUCAAGGCUCUUUGUACCAUCUUUAAUUGGGAGAGUCCUAAUGGGUUUCACAAGAUAGCAACAUAUAAACAUGUUACAAAGGCUUAGGAUCUUUUGCGUCACUCAUGAGGACACUUUUGCUGUGAAGUUUUCCAAAAUACAAAUAACUUUGGGAAUAUAAAAAAUAAGAAUAUGAAAUAUUUUUUUUUUUCUAUGAUGAGUUGAUUGAUAUUGUUGACUACUCUAGUUUCAAUGAUCUAGGGGGAAAAAAAGCUUGUAUCUAAGGUAGUUACAAUUUUUUUUUUACUCUAAAAUAUUUAAAGGACAUUGACAUUAUGAGAGUUAAUAAACUUGUAGGUUCCUCGACUUUUGAGAAUUCUAUACCUACUUCUAAGAAGUCUAAGGGUGUAGCCUUUAAAGUUAAUUUCUAUGAAUGAAGGUAACAAGUUUGAAGAACCUAACGAUAAAUGUUUAAUUUUUACUCAACUUUCUCUACUUGCUAAAAAGUUAAAGAAAACAACUCAAGCUCAUAAAAAAUAAAGACUCAGCAAAGAGAAAAAGGUUUAAAACUAAAGAAAAAGAAGAAAAAAAAGUGCAUUGUUUAUUUAUAAACAAAAAAAUCAAUGUUUUAAAAAUCGGAUCGGAUCGGUCGGUUCGAUUGGUCAAACCGUCGAUCGGUGACUUUUCCGAUUUGAUUCCUCCCUUUGGGCUGACUAUCAAUUGGACCGGUGGUGAACUGCUUAAGGCGAUGGUUGGACCAUGGGUAGGGCAAAGGGCUGAAGAAUCGACACAUUAAUUGCUUACCCUUCUUGCAAAAUGGGCUUCCUACUUAAGUACCAUGCUAUAAGGCCCACCAACCACUUGGCUUAAGCACUUGCUUCAAUUAGUUGAGAAGAGUUACUUUAUUUUUCCUCUCAUUUCCGAUAUGGGAUAAGGUAAAGGGAUUUAAAAGCAAAAAUCAACUUUGUUCUUGCCAACAAAGGGUUUGAACCAUGAACCACAAGCUCAUAAUGGUCAUAACCACUCCACCAUGUUGCAUCUUUGUUUGUAUUAAUUUUUAACAGAAAAUUACUACAUAGGCUAUUUCAAAAAAUAAUAUAUAUAUAUAUAUAUAUAUAUAUAUAUAUAUAUAUAUAUAUAUAUUACAUAUUUUUUUUUAUUUUCAAUUUUUUCACAUUUAAAUACGACUUUUUUUUUUACCAUUUUGAAUAUAUUUUCAUAUUUAAAUAUUAUAUAUAUUUUGUUUAAUAAAUUUAAACCAUUAAUACAUUUAUAUAAAAAUGAAUGAAUAAUAUUAUAAAUAUUAUUUAAUUUUUAAUUAUAUAUUUUAAAUAUUUUAUAAUUAUUUUUAAUUUUAAUAAAAUAUAAAAUAUAUAUUUAUGACAUCACCGGUUCGACCACGGUUCAACCAUCGAUCCGACCAGUGAACAGUGAACUGUUAACUUUUUCGGUUCAAUAUCCGGUACGGUUCUGAAAACAUUGAAAAAAAUAGAAUGUUCCAAUUGUAGGAGAGUAUGAUACAUGAUUUGUGAUCAUAUUCUCAAAAAUAUCAAGAAAGUUAUGCAAGCAAUUUGGAGUGAUAUUGAAUCUAGUGAUAAUGAGUUUGAGGACUCCUAUGAGAAUAAAGACAAUAAUAAUCUUGUUGUUUUUGUUGCUUGUUACAUUUAUAGUUCACUUUGAUUAUGAUUCUCUUAACAAAUUAAAUCAAAUUAUAAGGGUGAAUUUGAUUUCCAUAAUAUAGAUAUUACCUAGCUAUGAUGUAUUAUAUGAGGAAAGCUUAAAGAUGGAAGUCAAAAUGAGCACGUUUGAAAGUUUUAAUCAAACAUCCUUAAAAAUUGUCUUCAACAUUCAACAUAUAGCAUUUAAUAUUUGAACAUGUUUAAUAUAAAAUUAAAUCAUUUACAUUAAAAAUCUAAUUAAGAGUGAUUUUGAAAGACUUAAAAAUUAGGUUUGACAAAAAUUUUAAAAUCACAUAUAAAAAUUCCAAAAAUGGCUUGAAAUAAUUCUUGAAAAAUCACUUGCCGGCUGAUUUUGCUAAAAAGCAUUGUGAUUUUGAAAGAAUUAGAAAUUAGGUUUGACAAAAAUUUUAAAAUUUCAAAAAUGACUCGAAAUGAUUCUUGAAAAAUCACUUGAAAGCUGAUUUUGGGAAAAAUCAAUUUUUGAAAAACGCUACAAACUAAAACGUUUUAGUUGAAAUCACUCCCGACGUCGGCUGAAUGUCAUUUUCGAAUGAAGUAAUGGCACAAAUUAGUCCUCAAAGCGACAGGCUGCCUGUCGUGAAUCUCCUCAUCGCAUCAUUGUUUAACGAUUACCCACUACAACAAGUUGCAAGGGCAUGCGAAGGUCCUGCCCCAUAUAAUUGACCUUCAAUGCUUCAAAUUUUCAAAUUAGACUGACCGAGCAUGCUCACAUUCACAUAAACUGGCCUCUUCGUGUCUUUGUAGGAAUUUAAAUUCAUCAAUCACAAGUGGGCUAUAUAUAUAUGAUCUUCAUAUAAGUCCAUGAACUGAUUUUUAAGCUCUAAGAUCCACACAUUCUCCCUCACUUUUCUUCCUCAUUAAUCCUUCUACACCGCUAUUCCUCCACAGUAUAUUUAUGGAUGAAACUAAGAGCAGACAGAAAAAAGGUCUGAUGAAGAAGACAUGGGAGCAAUUCAAAUCUUUUGGUCAUGGGAGGAUUUUAUCAAGAACCCAUCAUUCUUCUAUGAAAAGCAAGUCAAGGCCUGGCCACACAGCCUCUCUUGAAGGCGUGAAGAAGGGGCGGGUUGCUCCAGAGGGCUGCUUCUCAGUGUACGUUGGACAUGGGAAACAAAGGUUUGUGGUCAAAACUGAGUAUGCCAACCAUCCUCUAUUCAGAGCACUCCUAGAAGAGGCUGAGCUAGAAUAUGGGUACAACAAUGGAGGGCCUCUUGUGCUUCCAUGUAAAGUGGAAAUUUUUCUUAAGGUGUUACUGGAAAUGGACAGUUCUGAUGAGGUUCAUCAAGGGUGCAGCUUUGCUAGGAGCCCUAGCUCCUAUCGCCUCCUCGGCCCAUCUCGGAUGAUCACCAUGAAUCAUCUAUGAAUUUACCAGAUUCAGAGUUUGUUUUUAUUUAUUCUACUAAUUUAUAUGAGAACAAAGAUCUCUUCAACAAAGGUUUUUAAUAGGUUUCUCCAUUAAUUUUUUACUUUUUAUCAUUAUUGAAAAUGAAAAAAAUAAAUAACAAAUAAAAACCCGAGUUCAAGGGAAAAGGAUUAAUGUAAUUUAACGUAGAUGAUUAGAUAGUCAAAACUAUUAAAAGAGUAUAAACUCUUCAGAUUAGUUUGCGUCUAUGAAUGAAUUUUAGGAUACAAGAAUCAUCUGUAUACUUUGAAAAGAGAUUGUCUUUCCCACAGACAGAUUCAAAAGUAGUUUGAAAUUAGAACUUUCUUUUAUAUAUAAAAAAUAAUAAUCAUGAAUAUCAUUUUCAUUCCCAAGUAUAUCAAGAUGCCAUAACACAAUGCCGUGUUUUAUCAUUUUCGAUCUAAUGACUUUAAAAUUACCCUUCCAACAAGUUAGAUAUAAUUAUAUAUGAUGGACCCAACCCCUAUAAGUAGAUCUUUAUGUUUUCCACCUUGCAAAUAGAUUGAGUACUUUUUGUUAGGAACAAGUGGGCAUUAUGUUGCUUAAUAUUAUCCAUUUUUGUGAUCCAAACGGAAACUAAUUAAUUGAAGGAUAGGUCCUUGUUUUUCUAAAGUUCUAUUGAUAUGUAAGUGAAUGCUUCUUUGGCAAUUAGAAUUGUUUGGAUAUGAAAAAAUUAUCAAAAUUUAAUUAAUUCAAGGACAAGUUAUGCUCUAUAAUACCUAAAAAAAUUUAACUUUUCCAAUUUAAUAGAAUUCAAAUUUCAAUGUCAUAUUAAUGUGGAAUAACCAAGGGGAUGAAAUCAUCCUCACUUUGGAAAACUAAUCCAUCAUCUUUAUUCAACCUAAAAAAAUGUCCAUUUUAAACAAAAAUACCCUCAUUUUUUUCUUGUAAAAGUAACCAUUUCUUUCAAAACACAUAUAUAAAUAAUAAAAAUAUUAAAAGAUAUUUAUGUAAAAAAAACUAGGUUACUCUUCAAGUUCAAAAGUGGGAAAUGUUAGUUUUUAUCCCUUUUAAUCAAUUAAUCCCAUUAAUUAAUAUUGACAAAUGUUAGUCCUUCUUCAUGGAUAUAUAUAUAAUAUUAUUGGAAAUAAUUUUUUUUUUCUUUUGAAUUAAGUGGUUAGAUUUAUUUAAAUAAAAAACAAACCAAGUUUAAACAAAAAGGACUAAUAUAAAUUAACGUAGAUGAUUAGAUAGUCAAAUUCUUAGGAAACCAUGAACUCUUUGAAUUUGCUCUUAUGAAUGGACUUUAGGAUUCAAGUACCAUCCAUUUACUUUAAAAGGAGAUUAGCUUUUUGAAAGCAAAUCAUGAAUAUCGUUUUCAUUUCCAAGUAUAUCAAGUUGCAAUAUAUAAAAUUUCAAAGUCUUAUCAUACCUCAACAAAACGUCAUGUUCUGUCAAUUUUUGGUCUAAUGCUUUUGGAAUUACUCUUUCAUUGGUAUCUUAACAAGUUGCAUAUGCUUGGGUUGGACCUUUGUGAACAUGACCUUGCAAAUGGAUUGAAUUUUUGUUAGAAACAAGUCUCUCACUCUCCAAAGCGGUCCCCUCUCCAUUGCAUAACUUAUUAGCAAAAUCCUUCAAAUUUUGUACUAUAUACAUACACACUCAUUUAUUGGGUUCUUUUAAAAUAGGUAUAUCAUAUUUUAAAAGUAUAUGGUUAAUUUGUUGUGUUGAAUAAAAUACAAAGAAAAUAAGUGUAGACCCCCAUUUGGGGCUCGUUUUUCAGCAACUCAAUUUUGCCAAGUGCCACUAUCCCGGGUGGCCACAUGUCGCCUCCUGGUUGGUUGCUGUGGAAUCAGCUUAGUGGAGUUGAUGGACGAAUGAGAAAGCGACACCUGUUGGAGAAUAUUCAUAAGAGCUUUUGGGCUGUUAGAGUGGAGUUUGGAUGAUUUUUUUUGAAGCGUGAGGGGGACCCCCCUCUCUUACCAUGAAUCCCGGCCAGAUGGGACAAGCAACCAGGAAGUUGAGGGCUUGAUUGCCGGCGGCAACAGACGUGCAGCAGCAAAGGGAGUGGUUGGUCAAACCAUGCUUGCUAACCAGUGAACAGGGGUAAGAAGGGAAAGAGUAAGGGGGGACACAAGAAAAAAGGAAAGCAAGAAGAGGAAGAACAGAAAGAGGGGACAGCAUUGUAGAGAGAGAAAAGGAGUAUGGGUGGAACUUGAAGAGAAAGCUAAGAACAAAGGAACGUAGAGUUGCUGAGAGGAGUCCAGGACAUAGAGCUGAGAAGAGAGAUUUCCAGGUAUGACCAUUUGUUUUUUUUUGUAUAUUUUCUUUUUUUUUUUUUCAGAUUGUCUAGAUUUAAUUCUCAGUGAUUUUUCAUUUCUACUUGUUGGGUUGUUCUGUUUUGGUGAUUACUGAUUAAAUAUUGGAAGAGUUUGCUAUGUUUUAUGCCCUCUUCUGACGAGUAUUUUUCCAUCUUAACUCACUGGAUGUUGGACCCAUGGACGAAAUGAUGAAAUGGGUCCGAUACGCCGGUUAAAGUCUUCAUGUUCUUCUUCUUGUUGCUAUCCUAUUAUCUCCUUGUUUUCUUUUCUUCCCUGAGUGCAUACUCAAGGCUCCCAAGUCUCAGUUGCUUUCCGUGAAGCUUCAAGCCAUGGCCUCAUUGUGGCUAGAAUCUGGGUUUUCAGUGAUGAUGAGAAUGGGUUUUUUCGGUUUUCUCCAAGCUUUCACAGUCAGCAAAUACCCAAGGUUGCAUACUACCAGGCAUAUUCGUCAGCUAGACGUGGAAGCGCAUCUGCUGGUGGCCUGCCCAUUGUGUUUAUGUCCAGGCACAUGUCUUCACUCUGCAUGACCCCUGUCUCUAUUCUCAUGCAGGUGUGUCGUCAUCUCAUCCCCAUGUUUUUUUUCCUUAUCCACCAUACCCAUCGUUUAUCUAUCCACUUCUCUCUCUCUCUAGGUCGUCAUACCCAUUUCCUCACUCAAGCUUGCAGGAAUCAAGCAUCCUCCACCACACCCAUUUUCCUCUCAUUCAUUAUCUGAAUGUAUCACAUCCAGAAUCCUGUCCGACUGACAUUCCACCUUAUCCGGAUGCCUCACAUCCGGAAUCCUGUCCGCUGACAUUCUAUCUUCUUCGGAUGCCUCACAUCCGGAAUCCUGUUCGGCCGACAUUCCACCUCCUCUGGAUGCCUCACAUCCGGAAUCCUGUCCGGUCAACAUUCCACCUCCUCCGGAUGUCUCACAUCUGGAAUCCUGUCCGCCGACAAUCCAUCUUAUCCGAAUGCCUCACAUCCGGAAUUCUGUCCUGCGCCAUCCCACCUUCUCCGGAUGUCUCUCAUCCGGAAUCUGUCUGCCGACAUUCCGCCUUAUUCGGAUACCUCACAUCCGGGAUCUAUUCGGCGCCAUCCCACCUUCUUCGGAUGUCUCUCAUCCGGAAUCUGUCCGCCGCCAUUCCCACCUUCUCCGGAUGUCUCUCAUCAGGAAUUUGUCCGCCUACAUUCCGCCUUAUCCGGAUCUCUCACAUCCGGGAUCUGUCCGACACCAUCCCAUCUUCUCCGGAUGUCUCUCAUCCGGAAUUUGUCCGCCGACAUCCCGCCUUCUCCGGAUGUCUCACAUCUGGAAUUCUGUCCGGCCGACGUUCCACCUUCUCUAGAUAUCUCGCAUCCGACGCCUGAUGCCGGAUGGGAGAGGAAGGCGAUUCAACUUCCCCCGUCAAACAUGUCUGGAUCCUUGUUUUAUAACUUCUUUUUUUAAACCAUUUCAAAGCAUCCUAUCUUUCAUCCUUAGAGUUUUUAAGAUUACCCAAGAGUCCCAUUUGCAAUAAAAUUUUGCUGCCAUCUUUCUUUCCGGCAAGCAAUUUUCACAACUCUUCUGUUUUUUUUUUAAAUGUUUUAAAAUAAGCAUAGAUUCAAUCAUGUAAUUCCGAAUAAUGGAGUUUAUGGAAUUAAUUCAUGCAAAAAUAAACGGGCUUUGGUGGGGGUCCCACAUAAGUGACUUUAUAAUUGAUUGAUUGAUUGAUUAAUUUAAUUGUCAUGCAUGAUUGAUCUUAUUCUUCUAUAUGACAUACUUGAAAUUAUUCCUUAAUUGUACACUAACCUCUCUCUUGAUAGUGCAUGGUGGCUCGUUGCCCAGGUACGCACCUACUUUCACUUUGGUAAUUGUCUAAGCAUAUUUUGAUUUUCACGUGUGCAUGAUUUAUUCUGGGUACUCAUUGAUUUACUCGUCCAUUGUCAUGAUCGCUUCAUUUUAUUAGUAAAGACCCGACUUUAGGGACUUAGAGGGGUGCUACGGUUUUUACCGUACCUUCCCGAUAAGUAACCUGACCCCCGAACCCGAUCCAGUUUUUCGUAGACCACCUUUUCCAAAAUAAGAAGUCACACUUAGGGUUUUUCUUUCUUAUUUUGUUUACCCUUUUAAAAAUAAAACAAAAAUAAGUGGCGACUCUAAGUCAUUUUUCUUAAUCAAUAAAAAUCAAUUUUCCAAAAUCAAAAGCGAGUUUCGCCAUCGAGUGGGAAAUGCAUUGAGCCGAAAUGCGGGGUCCACAAUAAGGUUAUUUGUUUUCGAGAAUAGUUUUUUGUUCUCCAAAAUAAAAAAAUAAAAAAACAUGUUUGAUAAUCAGAAAAUAUUUUUUUGUCUUCUAUUCUUAAGAACAAAAAAUAAGGUGUUUUUAAAUAAUAUCUUUCACUCAUUUUCACUUGUUUUUUAAGAAUUGUUUUAAAAAAUAAUUAUACAAAUAUAUAGAAUGAUUAAAUAUAAAAUACUAAAUAUAAAAUUAUUUUUAAAACAUAUUUAAAAACAUUAUAAAUAUGUUAAAAUAUUUCAAAUUCAUAAAUAGACUUUUAUUCUAUAAAACAUUAUAAAAUAAUUUUCAAAAAUUAUUCUCAAAAACUAUGUUUCAAAACUAUUUUCGAAAAUAGUUACCAAAUAAGAACUAAGAUUCAUAUAUAAAGAAAUUGGACAAACAUAUAAAGAUAUCAAAUGUAAGUGCAAUAAAUUAAGAAAAAAAAAAAGGAAGAAGAAGAAGAAGAAGAACUCGUAUAUAGCAAAAAGUAAAGGAAACCUUUUUUCACAAUGUGAUAUUCAUUAGUAAUUGGUCAACAUUUUUCUUUAUGGCAUCAAAAUGCUAUUUUUUUGGUACCAUAUCAUGACAUUUGAAUUAGAGAGCUACCAGCUAGUUUAUGUUUCAUGACUCGUGUGAGUGUAUAAUUAAUUUUAAAAGCUUGUACAUGCAAAAGUGUUCAAUAUAACCAAUGUACUAACUUAAUUUAAGUUAUCAAAUAUGUACAAUAAAAUAAUUUAAUAGAAUUAUUAAAAAUAAAAAAUAAAAAAUAAAUUACUCUUUCUAAAUCAUUAAAAAUAAAAAAUGGUGCCCACAAUACUUUAACCUCUUGACUUGUCAUCAACCCUCUAUCACAAUAGUCAACUAUUUUAAAUUAUUAAUUCUUUAUUGGAGGUCUAAUUAAUUAUUAAACUAUUAAUUCGAUAUGUUUGUCCCUAAAAAAUAUUAAGAAAAGAAAAAAAGCAUUAAGAAAAUUGGUUAUUUCAUAUUUGGUUUCAUUAUUAAAAAUAUAAAAGAAAAUCAAAUAUAAUUAAAAUUUAUUAAAAUUUUAUAUAUUUUUUAAUUAUUUAAUCUUUAUAUAAUAGAAGAAAAUAAAUAAAAUGAGUUUGAAGAAACAUAUAAAAAUAAUUUAUUAAUUUUAAAUUUAUUUUUUAUUUUUCUUCUAUUUUUCCACUUUAUUUUCUUUUCUUCACAUUUUUCAUAACCAAACAUAGUCUAAGAGAAUUUUUAUUUUUUUUCCUUAUUCACACAACCUUUUGUGUUUUUUUGAAGACUGAAAUUGCUCAAAAUCGACUAGUAAGGAAGAAAUCUCAAAAAGACAUUAAUUGUAAAUCCUUACUUAAUUUCCAAAUCUAAGAAAUGUAUUAAGGAAUAGUAUUCUUAAAUUUCCAACAGGGUUUUUAAUUAAGAUAUUAGAGAAUUAUUAUUAUUAUUAUUAAAUUACAUUAUAUAAUAAUAUACUUACAAGAUCAAUAUUAUCUUAUCUUAAGAACAAAAAGAGAGAGCAACUAAUUACAAAGAUGAGAGCCCUCGGAGUUCUCUCUUAUCACUCCUAGUAUUGUGCUAGUGGCUAAUUUUGAACCUUUGGUCUUUCGUGGGGAGCCACCACGGGCCUAGUGGCAUACUCUCCUCUAAAAUUUUAAAGAACGCCAAUUUGACACAACAAAAAGAUAUUUAAAAAAUAUUUUUAUUUUUAUUUUAAAAUUUAUUUAAUAUUUAUAAAAUUAAUUUUUUUUAAAUGCUAAUUUUUCACUAUAAAACAAAUGUUAACAAAAUAAUUUUUAUUUGAUUUUUUAUUAAAUAUUUUCUUAGCUGUGGGUAGUGUUUAUAUUUUUAGGUUUAAUCCAAUAGUCAUGAAUUUAUAAAUGAUUAUAUAAUUAUUUGAAUUAUAUGCUAUUUAAUAAUUAAAUUUAUUUCAUUUGACUUUGAGAUUUGAGGUUUAAUUGUGUAGUACUUUGAAGGCAAAUUUUAUGAUUUUAAAAAUAAAUUUCUCAAAUGCUUUGAAGGUAAAAAGGAAUGAUUAAGAGCAUUCCAUAGAUGUGAUUUUUUAUUUUUUAUUUUCAUUCUUUUUAAUCAUGUGAUAAUUUAUAUUUCAACUGGAAACUGACUGAAUGUCUGAGUUCACCGCCAGCAAGGGAAUUGAGGGGAGGGAGAGCCAAAUGCUCAGACAAGGAUGGAGUGAUGCCCUUCCGGCGUACCGGUUUACAGAGCCCAUGUAGAAAACGUAAACCCCUUUGGAUUUCCCAUUUCUGAUAUCCAUCUCAGGUGUGGCUGGUUCAGCUCUUCUGUCCUCAUAAACCCGAAAAUAUUCAAGCGUCUAUGCUACAACUACUGCCUUGUCAGGAAUGGGAGGCCCCUGGCUAGCGGUUCCAUGGUCGAAUUUGAGUUUGCCAACAGCUUCAGCUACCCCCUCUCUUUCUCUUCAAUAAGGUUAAUUUUACGAUUUUACUUGAAUUUUAGAAUACAUCGGAUAAUGAAUAUUUUAAAUAUCAAUAAAAUAAAAAUUAUUUUAAAUUUAUAAAUAAAAAUACAUAUAUUAAAAUUAUUUUAUAUAUGUAAUUGAUGUAAAUAUAAUUAAGAAGAAAAAUAUCAAUAAACAAAGAAAUAUCAAUCUUAAUAUAUAAUUUAUUAUUUAUUUAAUUAAAUUAAUUUUAAUUUAUAAAAUAUUAACUUCAUUAUUUUUUUACAUAUUUUAAUAUUUUUUUAAAUAAAUUUACAUUUUAAUAUUUUAAAAUAAAAACAUUCAAAAUUAGGAAGAUAAAUAUAAAAAAAUUAAAAGGGAAGUAAUAGUAAUAUUUAAAAUAAGAUUAAUGAAAUAAUUAUUAUAUAUUUAAUAUUAAAACUAUAUUUUAUUUAAUUUAAAUACAUUUAAUAAUAUAAAAUAAAUAAUUAUGCAUAUGAUUUUUUAAUUUUUAUAUUUUUAUAUUUAAUUAUCAUAUAAAUGAUAUAAAAAGACUUGUUAAGAAAAUUAUAAUGCUGGUUUUUAUACUUUUAUUAAUCAAUUAAAUAAAAUUUAAAAUAAAAUAAUUAAAAUUAAUUUAUUCUUCUAUUUUUUAAUAAUGAAGUUUAAGGUGUUCAGUGUGAACAUUUACUUACAAAAGUGAACUUGGUCUAGUGGUAGCCACACAGGGUUCAAAUCCCCCGCUGCAAGAAAAAUGUGAAGUUUGGCCAGAGUUGGAACCCCUUUCUACAAGAAAAAUGUGAAGGGGCUUGGCCCGCUUAGCUGCAAUAUAGGUGAUAUUUUAGAAAAAUUUUUGAAAAAUGGGUCGACCAAUUAUGUAGAAUGUCGUGUCAGCCCUCACCGAUAUUUUGACGAAAUUUCGCGAUAUUUUAAAUCAUGAUUGUAACACUAUGGCACCAUUGCAACUGUACUACCACAAAGGAAUAAUGUCUUGGGAAAUUUAUUUAUUUUUCUUAUUGUUAUAAAAUGAGAAAACAAAUUGAAUAAAGUACAUAAUUCUCUAGUAUUAACCAUGAAUACCAUAUUAAUUACAUGCUUUGACACAAGAAAUUAUGAGAUCAGGGGUGCUGGUUCUGAGGGCUGGUAGGAGGGGAUGGAGGGUAGUAGUAGGGAAUCCAAGUUCUGGGGUCUUCCCAGUUGAAUGCUGGAGGAGGAGGGUUUAGUGAAGGGAUGUAGGGUGUCCAAGUUUUGGGGUCUCCCAAGUUGAAUGCUGGAGGAGGAGGGUUUAGUGAAGGGAUGUAGGGUGUCCAAGUUUUGGGGUCUCCCAAGUUGAAUGCUGGUGGAGGAGGAGGGGUUAGUGAAGGGAUGUAGGGUGUCCAAGUUUUGGGGUCUCCCAAGUUGAAUGCUGGUGGGGGAGGGGGAGACAGGGAAGGUAUGUGUGGUAUCCACGUUCUGGGGUCUCCCCAGUUGAACGCAGGCGGAGGAGGGGGAGGAAGGGAGAGAGGUGGGGUUGGAGGGAAAGGGAAGGGUAGAGAUGGUGGUGUUUUGAAUGGUAAUGGAGGAAAUGGAAGUGAUGGAAAUGGGGGCAAUGGGGAAAAGGGAAAAGGCAAUGUUGGCAGAGGAGGUAGCCGAGGCAGAGGAGGUAGCCGAGGCAGAGGAGGUAGCUGAGGCAGAGGAGGUAGCUGAGGCAGAGGCGGUAGCUGAGGCAGAGGAGGUAGGGGAGGUAAAGAAGGCCAAGGGAAGCCAAAUGGUGGAAAGCAAGGCAGAAAGAAUUUUGCAGAAUUUAAGUCAUUUGGCAAUUCCUGUGUUUGAUCUCCACAAAUU
rnacentral:lncRNA from 1 species